rnacentral:rRNA from 1 species
GGCCUCGAGCUAACUCCCAACCCAUGUGACAUACCUACUGUUGCUUCGGCGGGAUUGCCCCGGGCGCCUCGUGUGCCCCGGAUCAGGCGCCCGCCUAGGAAACUUAACUCUUGUUUUAUUUUGGAAUCUUCUGAGUAGUUUUUACAAAUAAAUAAAAACUUUCAACAACGGAUCUCUUGGUUCUGGCAUCGAUGAAGAACGCAGCGAAAUGCGAUAAGUAAUGUGAAUUGCAGAAUUCAGUGAAUCAUCGAAUCUUUGAACGCACAUUGCGCCCGCCAGUAUUCUGGCGGGCAUGCCUGUCUGAGCGUCAUUUCAACCCUCAUGCCCCUAGGGCGUGGUGUUGGGGAUCGGCCAAAGCCCGCGAGGGACGGCCGGCCCCUAAAUCUAGUGGCGGACCCGUCGUGGCCUCCUCUGCGAAGUAGUGAUAUUCCGCAUCGGAGAGCGACGAGCCCCUGCCGUUAAACCCCCAACUUUCCAAGGUUGACCUCAGAUCAGGUAGGAAUACCCGCUGAACUUAAGCAUAUCAAUGAGGGAGGAGGAGGCGGU